rnacentral:misc_RNA from 1 species
UCUCCGUAGGUGAACCUGCGGAGGGAUCAUUACAGAGUUCAUGCCCUACCGGGUAGAUCUCCCACCCUAUGUUAUUAUUACUUUGUUGCUUUGGCGGCCGUUAGGCUCCGGCCCGACUACCGGCCCCGGCUGGUAAGCGCCCGCCAGAGGACCCAAAACCCUGAAUAUUAGUGUCGUCUGAGUACUAUAUAAUAGUUAAAACUUUCAACAACGGAUCUCUUGGUUCUG